AACGAACGCUGGCGGCAGGCUUAACACAUGCAAGUCGAGCGCCCCGCAAGGGGAGCGGCCGACGGGUGAGUAACGCGUGGGAACGUACCUUUUGGUUCGGAACAACUCCGGGAAACUGGAGCUAAUACCGGAUAAGCCCUAACGGGGAAAGAUUUAUCGCCGAAAGAUCGGCCCGCGUCUGAUUAGCUAGUUGGUGAGGUAAAGGCCCACCAAGGCGACGAUCAGUAGCUGGUCUGAGAGGAUGAUCAGCCACACUGGGACUGAGACACGGCCCAGACUCCUACGGGAGGCAGCAGUGGGGAAUAUUGGACAAUGGGCGCAAGCCUGAUCCAGCCAUGCCGCGUGAGUGAUGAAGGCCUUAGGGUUGUAAAGCUCUUUUGUCCGGGAAGAUAAUGACUGUACCGGAAGAAUAAGCCCCGGCUAACUUCGUG
rnacentral:rRNA from 1 species